rnacentral:piRNA from 1 species
UGAACCCUGCAGGAGAUUGGGAGCCUU